rnacentral:lncRNA from 1 species
GUUUGAGAAGCAUGUCUGCUGCAGCUGACGAGCCCUACCAACCACAGAGCCACACACCCCAUCAACACAGUCCUGCACUAUGCGUGCACCAUGGCCCACUGAAGCAAACCCAGUCACCCCAUUGCAGAGGCCCCACACACUCCACCUACACUACCCUCACGCAUGCCCCACCCCACAGAGGUGGACCCAUUCACCCAGCUGCAGGGUUCCAGGCACCCCACCUAUAGGGGCUCACAAGUUGCCUGAAGGCUUGCUAUUGGGUGGGGCCAGCCCCUAGGGUGGGCUGCCUGUCCUGGCUGAGCUGGAUUAAAUUGGUGCUCUAGUGGGUGGGGCAUACUCCUGGGCUAACAGACUAGGGGAAGUACUCCAGUGGUGUCUGCCAGCGUCUGUUUCAGCAUGGCUGUACUAGGUCACAAUAAUGGCUGCCACCAAUGUGUCAGUCCCUGGAAACGUCUCAACUCUCACUGAGAUGCACCCAGAGCCUAUCAGUUCUGGAGGCCAGAAGUCCAAGAUCAAGAUGGCAGCAGGCAGGUUCCCUCUGAAGAUACUAAGGAAGGAUCUGUUCCAGGCCUCACUCCUAGCUUCUGUUACAAUAUUCUAAUCCUUCUGUGAGCUCCUACCCGAUCUCCGCGAGUUUGCAGGGAGUUCGCUUUCCUCUGACUAUGUACUAAUAUUAAUGCUAAUUCAUGUGCAUAAUGUUUUUGCAAUUUACAGAUAGCUUUCACCAUAUUAUCUCAUUUUAACAUUAAAAACAUCCUGUGAGAUAAAUGAUAUUACUAUCUUCAUUUUGAGAAAUGACUCAGCUUGCCCAAAAUUAUAGGGUUGAAAGUGAGAGAACCAAGACUUGAUUCCAGUUCUGACUCCAAAUUCUAAGCUCCUUUUACCUUAUUAUCCAGUAUAUGCUUUCUGGUUUCCUCACUUUCCACACAUCUCAGCUCCCAAACUGCAUUAGAAUUUACUAUGGUGUUUGGCAGGUUCCUCUGCACAGGGUUUUAUGCUGUGGAGUACAUAGAAGGAUCUGAGUUUUGAAUUCCAGCUUUGUUACCUCUCUGCUGAGUGUCCUUAGACAAGUUAUU